GGCAAUAUACGCCCCCCAUUUCAUGUGGGCGUAUAAAAAGAAGGGUUCUGAAUUGCACCUAGCGGAGGCCGACCCCUGCGAUCACCCCUAAUGUGGGUGACUUGAGUACGUAAUUUUUUUAGUGCGGGGGACUGCGUUCGCGCUCUCACCUG
rnacentral:snRNA from 1 species